UAGUAUGAAAAACAUUCCAACAUUACAUAAAAUAACAACAAGAUUUUUGCUAGUCUCGAAGCUGCUGUGAAAUGUUUUUGCUGCUUCGAGAAGUGAUUUUCAUCUCGAUGUGGCGAAAUAUAAAAAAUAAAAUAAAAAAAUAUGCAAACUUGUUUGUGUUGAAAUAUUUGACGCAUGCACCUCUUAGUGCAGAAAUUUGGUGUGAGCAGGCCACAGUGAAUUUUCAGCUAGGAAUUAUUAUUGGCGCAUAAGCAUCUUAAAGCAUUACCGAAUGUUUACCACUUGUUUAUUUAGUGGGAUCAUUAGGACUACUAACAAUAAUUGUUCGUGUGGCGGUUUGUUUCAUCCAUCGGCAAAGAUAUUCGAAAAUAUUGCAGAAGAAUCCAUUCCACGCGCCUUUUUGACAUACAACGGAAAUGCAGUAUUUUGGCUACCUCGAUUCAGUCUCAGCUAAGAAAGCAUGGUGCUAUUGUUGGGAAAACAGAUACUCCAGAGUAAAUGGGAAAUCAAAUAUUCGUUGUGGAAAUUACGGAAUAAAAUAUUUUUUGUUGUUGAGAUUUUCUUUUAUUGUAUUACCAGGUAUUAAAUAAAUUUUUAAGUUAUAUUUCGUU